GUGGGGAAUAUUGGACAAUGGGCGCAAGCCUGAUCCAGCCAUGCCGCGUGAGUGAUGAAGGCCUUAGGGUUGUAAAGCUCUUUCACCGGUGAAGAUAAUGACGGUAACCGGAGAAGAAGCCCCGGCUAACUUCGUGCCAGCAGCCGCGGUAAUACGAAGGGGGCUAGCGUUGUUCGGAAUUACUGGGCGUAAAGCGCACGCAGGCUGAUAUUUAAGUCAGGGGAGAAAUCCCGGGGCUCAACCCCGGAACUGCCUUUGAUACUGGGUAUCUUGAGUAUGGAAGAGGUCAGUGGAAUUGCGGGUGUAGAGGUGAAAUUCGUAGAUAUUCGCAGGAACACCAGUGGCGAAGGCGGCUGACUGGUCCAUUACUGACGCUGAGGUGCGAAAGCGUGGGGAGCAAACAGGAUUAGAUACCCGAGUAGUCC
rnacentral:rRNA from 1 species